UUCCAUUACAAUUCUUCCUGCUUUCUGUGC
rnacentral:piRNA from 1 species